UACAGAGGUCUCAAGCGUUGUUCGGAUUCAUUGGGCGUAAAGGGUGUGUAGGUGGCGCCGUUAGUCGGGUGUGAAAUUUCGGAGCUUAACUCCGAAACUGCAUUCGAUACUGCCGUGCUUGAGGACUGGAGAGGAGACUGGAAUUUAUGGUGUAGCGGUGAAAUGCGUAGAUAUCAUAGGAAGACCAGUGGCGAAGGCGGGUCUCUGGACAGUUCCUGACGCUGAGGACGAAGGCCAGGGGAGCAAACGGG
rnacentral:rRNA from 1 species